rnacentral:rRNA from 1 species
GCUCAGGACGAACGCUGGCGGCGUGCCUAAUACAUGCAAGUCGAGCGGACAGAUGGGAGCUUGCUCCCUGAUGUUAGCGGCGGACGGGUGAGUAACACGUGGGUAACCUGCCUGUAAGACUGGGAUAACUCCGGGAAACCGGGGCUAAUACCGGAUGGUUGUUUGAACCGCAUGGUUCAGACAUAAAAGGUGGCUUCGGCUACCACUUACAGAUGGACCCGCGGCGCAUUAGCUAGUUGGUGAGGUAACGGCUCACCAAGGCGACGAUGCGUAGCCGACCUGAGAGGGUGAUCGGCCACACUGGGACUGAGACACGGCCCAGACUCCUACGGGAGGCAGCAGUAGGGAAUCUUCCGCAAUGGACGAAAGUCUGACGGAGCAACGCCGCGUGAGUGAUGAAGGUUUUCGGAUCGUAAAGCUCUGUUGUUAGGGAAGAACAAGUGCCGUUCAAAUAGGGCGGCACCUUGACGGUACCUAACCAGAAAGCCACGGCUAACUACGUGCCAGCAGCCGCGGUAAUACGUAGGUGGCAAGCGUUGUCCGGAAUUAUUGGGCGUAAAGGGCUCGCAGGCGGUUUCUUAAGUCUGAUGUGAAAGCCCCCGGCUCAACCGGGGAGGGUCAUUGGAAACUGGGGAACUUGAGUGCAGAAGAGGAGAGUGGAAUUCCACGUGUAGCGGUGAAAUGCGUAGAGAUGUGGAGGAACACCAGUGGCGAAGGCGACUCUCUGGUCUGUAACUGACGCUGAGGAGCGAAAGCGUGGGGAGCGAACAGGAUUAGAUACCCUGGUAGUCCACGCCGUAAACGAUGAGUGCUAAGUGUUAGGGGGUUUCCGCCCCUUAGUGCUGCAGCUAACGCAUUAAGCACUCCGCCUGGGGAGUACGGUCGCAAGACUGAAACUCAAAGGAAUUGACGGGGGCCCGCACAAGCGGUGGAGCAUGUGGUUUAAUUCGAAGCAACGCGAAGAACCUUACCAGGUCUUGACAUCCUCUGACAAUCCUAGAGAUAGGACGUCCCCUUCGGGGGCAGAGUGACAGGUGGUGCAUGGUUGUCGUCAGCUCGUGUCGUGAGAUGUUGGGUUAAGUCCCGCAACGAGCGCAACCCUUGAUCUUAGUUGCCAGCAUUCAGUUGGGCACUCUAAGGUGACUGCCGGUGACAAACCGGAGGAAGGUGGGGAUGACGUCAAAUCAUCAUGCCCCUUAUGACCUGGGCUACACACGUGCUACAAUGGACAGAACAAAGGGCAGCGAAACCGCGAGGUUAAGCCAAUCCCACAAAUCUGUUCUCAGUUCGGAUCGCAGUCUGCAACUCGACUGCGUGAAGCUGGAAUCGCUAGUAAUCGCGGAUCAGCAUGCCGCGGUGGAAUACGUUCCCGGGCCUUGUACACACCGCCCGUCACACCACGAGAGUUUGUAACACCCGAAGUCGGUGAGGUAACCUUUAUGGAGCCAGCCGCCGAAAGGUGGGACAGAUGAUUGGGGUGA